CAAAACAGUCAAAUUUCAGUAGAAUAUAAACAAAAUCAACUACUUUCAAGAGGAAUGAUUUGUAAUCUGUAAUAGAAUCAAUAGUUUGCCUAAUUUUUAUCAUAUCUUAACUGCUAUUAAGAAAUAAUCUUGCUUCACAGGAGAUUUUAGGAGCUUGUGUUUGUUAAAAAAAGGUGCAGCUGCUCACAUUUUUAUAUUAGUUAUCUUAAAUAGUUUAAAUUGGUAUUGUUUUAAAUAUUAGGCCAUUUUGAUAUUUAUAUAUUUGUAACUCUUUGCUAAGUUGGGUUUUAAGAUAUGUUCAGAUUGUAAAGGUCUUUGACAUUAUAAAUUACAUAAGUAAUCAUUUGAACCUGACUUGAUUUUUCUUGGCUAUUGUGACUAGAUAUGCUAAGAGCUAUGUCAUUUUAUUUUCUGUAAAGAUAUACUGGUGAUAUAAAUAUCUGAGGUCAUGCGUAUUUUUAAAUCACCAUUAAAAAUCUUGAUUACUCAGAAGUUUAAAACGAAAGAACAGUUUAUCACCCCACCUGUUUUUUUUUUUUUUUUUUUUUUUUUUUUUUUAGGUGAUGGAUGCGGACAAACUGUACUAGGCCCUGAAAGUGGAACUCUUGCAUCUAUAAACUACCUGCAGACCUAUCCCAACAGUACCAUUUGCAAAUAGGAGAUCCGUGUCAAGAAGGGAGAAUGAAUCCGGGUCAAAUUGGGUGAUGUUGACAAUGAAGAUUCUGAUUCUUGUCAUUUUAAUUACUUGAGAAUUAUAAUGGAAUUGGACUUGGCAGAACAGAAAUGGGUUUAAUGGACUAGAAUGUCAUCUGUUUUUGAAAAAGUUCCCUAGACUGCGGAGAAGAAUGUCUGCUUUGUUGUUCAGUAGAACUCUUUGAAGUGCAAGAAUGAAUGCUCAACAAGAAUGUGUGGCUGUCUUUUACAAAGCUGAAGUCUACUCAGAAUUCACUGAUUAUUUUUAUGAGGGAAAAGUGAUUCUCUGUAAUCUGCAUGAACUAAUCUUCAUUAAUGCAUUUGAUAUUCCCCAAACAGGAAUUAAAUCACAAGGAACAUUUAAUCUAAACAGCACUGUUACUUUUUGUCACCUUUUACUGUCUAACUGUCCUGGCAGCCAGGCAUGGUGAUAAAUAUCUGGAAUCCCAGCAUGCGAGGGGCUGAAGCAGAAGGAUCACCAUGAGUUCAAGACCAGCCUGCACUAAAUAGCAAGACCCUGUUUCAAACAAUCUUUGCCCUCAAGAAAAUAAUUGUCUUGGUAAAGAUUUUCAGGGAAGUGGUCUUUCUUUCCUUAUAUAAGAUCUUUAAGAAAAGUUCUUAGAUUUUCCCUGUUCAUCAUAUUGACUGUAAGCCUUUAAUACAUAAUCUUUAUUCUGAUCAUGCAAACUACUUCAAUAACUAUUGUCUUUAGAGAUUUAAUUAUUAAUGAAUGUUCAAUUUUGUCAAAUACCUUACUGCAUCAACUGAAAUCAUUACAUAAUUUCUUUGUUUGGAGGGAUUUUGUGAUGUAUCAUUGUGUUCCCAUACUGUCACUGUGACAAAAUUCUUAAGAAAACCAACAACAAAAGGAAUACUUAUUUGGAAUCAAUAUUUCAGUUUACAGUCCAAUUGCUAUUGAUCAUUUGCUUUGAUAUUGUAGAAAUAAGAGGUUUGAUACUGUAGAAAUAAGCAAGCAAAGAGACUGGAAAAAAUUUGAGUCUCAGUAUUUUUUUGUGGGUGUAUCUCUGGGAGUUCAAGGGCAGCCUGAACUGCAUAGCAAGAUCUUGUCUCAAGAAAAAAAAAAGAUACAAAUAUAUUGUCAUGCAUACUUUUCUAUGAAUAUAAAAUGUUAAUUAGUUGUUAGCACUAGUUUUCUAAUGUAGUUGAUGGUGUAGCAAGAAAAUAAUUUAGGCAUAAACAAUACAAAGCCUCUUUAAAAUUCAUACAUUUAGCUAUUCAAGGUUAAGAGACUUUAACAUUGUAUAAUUCUUUUUCAUACAUUUUGUACCUGAUGUGUGUUGUAUUAUUUAACAUUUUGUAAACUUAAUUAUUUAAAGAAAAUGUUUCAUUUUUAUUUUUCUGAUAGUAGGAGUAAUCUAAAUAUUUUUGUCUUGUAGAGCAUUUUGAUAACACAUAUAUGUACAUAUUCAUGAAUCUUAGAAAAAUAAGAACCAGUAUAUUCACAGGAAAGGCCUUAUUCUUUAUACUAAGUUUGGGUUAGGAUAUUUAAUAUGCUCAAAUUUAUAAAAUCUUUUUCUAAAUUUUAUAAAUUACUUUCAUAAACAAGCAAACCCGAAAGUUUGAUCACACCAUGUGAUCACGUGUGAGUGGAGUUUAUAUUUGAUUGAACAGUGGAUAUUCUUUUUCUUCUCACCAGGUUAAUGCACUGAAGAUACUUACAAUUACCUGACAGAACUCUGUAGUGUUCAUUUCCCUGUCACUGAUAAACUGCUGAUGAUCAUUCAUUUUAGACCCAUUGGCAAAUGGCAGCCCAAUACUCAGAUAACUUUACUGUCUUUCAUCUGACACUUUUUAUAAUGUUUAUUGUUUUGACUAUUAAAAGGAUUCUUCAAA